GAUUCCGCUCUAAGACCUUUUAAGGAUUUUCAAGUCUUCCGACUCUUAGUGGCAACCAUCAUAGGAGCAAACCAGGACAACUAAACAAACCUAGCGGUAUAUUGGUUAACGAUCACAUUUCCUUAUGCAAGUCCUAUAAUUUUUCUUUUUUUUCUCCUGAACAUAAACUGGGAAGAAGUUCUUAAGAAAAACAUCCAUG
rnacentral:lncRNA from 1 species